UACGUAGGUGGCGAGCGUUGUCCGGAAUCACUGGGCGUAAAGGGCGCGUAGGCGGCGAUACAAGUCGCAUGUGAAAGACCAGGGCUCAACCCUGGGAGGUCAUGCGAAACUGUGUUGCUUGAGUGCAGUAGAGGUAAGCGGAAUUCCUGGUGUAGCGGUAAAAUGCGUAGAGAUCAGGAGGAACACCGGUGGCGAAGGCGGCUUACUGGGCUGCAACUGACGCUGAGGCGCGAAAGCGUGGGGAGCAAACAGG
rnacentral:rRNA from 1 species